rnacentral:rRNA from 1 species
CCUGUCCAUGCAGUACUGAGAGAGAGACAUUACUGAGUGAGGGCCUUCGGGCUCGACCUCCAACCCUUUGUGAACACAACUUGUUGCUUCGGGGGCGACCCUGCCGUUUCGACGGCGAGCGCCCCCGGAGGCCUUCAAACACUGCAUCUUUGCGUCGGAGUUUAAGUAAAUUAAACAAAACUUUCAACAACGGAUCUCUUGGUUCUGGCAUCGAUGAAGAACGCAGCGAAAUGCGAUAAGUAAUGUGAAUUGCAGAAUUCAGUGAAUCAUCGAAUCUUUGAACGCACAUUGCGCCCCUUGGUAUUCCGAGGGGCAUGCCUGUUCGAGCGUCAUUUCACCACUCAAGCCUCGCUUGGUAUUGGGCGCCGCGGUGUUCCGCGCGCCUCAAAGUCUCCGGCUGAGCUGUCCGUCUCUAAGCGUUGUGAUUUCAUUAAUCGCUUCGGAGCGCGGGCGGUCGCGGCCGUUAAAUCUUUCAUAAGGUUGACCUCGGAUCAGGUAGGGAUACCCGCUGAACUUAAGCAUAUCAAUAAGCGCAGAAA